UCAAGUAAUUACAAAUUAUUAUGAUUUUGGAAUUGAGGAUUUUGUUUGGGUUAGAUUCUGAUUUUUGUUAAGUUGUGAAUAAUUUGAGGUAUGUGAAUCGGUGGGAUAAUAUGAUAAAGUGAAAACUAUUAAGUACAAAGGAUCUCUUGUAAUUUUGAGUUGUGUAAAGAUUCGAGGUAAUUAGAUUAAUUUUUUUGAGUAAAUGAAUUUUGCGAUUAUUUCCUAGUAGAAUAUUGGAGUUGUCUUAUAUGAAAUUUUGAGUGAUAGUAUGAGGAGAUUUUAGAAUUUGUUGGGUUAAGGUUUGCACUAAGAGAAUGAUUGAUUUAUUAAAUGAUUAGAUAUUAAGUGAUGAAUCUUUAAGAGAUUUUGAAAGCUAUCAUUUGUUUAUUCAGAUAGUAGGAUAUAUGAUUUGGAGUUUGGUAUGGUGAUGGAGAGAUCUUAGUAGUAGUAUAUUUUUGGUGUAAUAAUAUUUGAGAACUAAUUUGAUUGGAGGUUAUGAUAUUUUGAAACUCUUAAGGACUUAGGAGAGUUGGUGAUAAAGAGAUAUUAGUAGUAUAUUCUUUGGUGUAAUAUUAUUUGGUGAAUAGUUCAAAUUAAGGAUGAGAUAUUUUGAAGCUCUUGAGGACUUGGGGAGAGUUGGUAAUAUGAUUUGCAUAGUUGUUUUGGUUAUCUGAUGUCU
rnacentral:lncRNA from 1 species